UACAGAGGUGGCAAGCGUUGUUCGGAAUUACUGGGCGUAAAGGGCGAGUAGGCGGUCUUCUAAGUCAGACGUGAAAUCCCCCCGGCUUAACCUGGGAACUGCGUCUGAUACUGGGAGGCUCGAGUAUGGGAGAGGGAUGCGGAAUUCCAGGUGUAGCGGUGAAAUGCGUAGAUAUCUGGAGGAACACCGGUGGCGAAGGCGGCAUCCUGGGCCGGUAUUGACGCUGAGGAGCGAAAGCCAGGGGAGCAAACGGG
rnacentral:rRNA from 1 species